rnacentral:rRNA from 1 species
GGAGUUUGAUCCUGGCUCACACCCCACGCUGGCGGCUUGCUUAACACAUGCGAGUCCAGUGCGCAGUUCCCUGUGGCAAUACAGGGGAUGGGCGCACGGCGCAGGGGUGAGUAACACGUGGGCAACCUGCCCUCCAAAGGGGGAUAACCCCGCGAAAGCGGGGCUAAUACCGCAUGACAUUCCGGUGGCUUCGGCCGCCGGAUUCAAAGGCCUGAAGGCCGUUUGGGGAGGGGCCCUCCCCCGAUUAGCUUUUUGGUGAGGUAACCGCUCACCUGGGCUUUGAUCGGUAGCCGGUCUGAGAGGAUGGUCGGCCACACUGGAACUGACACACGGUCCAGACUCCUACGGGAGGCAGCAGUGGGGAAUCUUGCGCAAUGGGCGAAAGCCUGACGCAGCGACGGUUGUGGGGGAUGAAGCUUCUCGGAGUGUAAACCCCUUUCGACCCGGAAGAAUGUCCCGCAAGGGAUUGACGGUACCGGUAUAAGAAGCCCCGGCUAACUACCUGCCAUCCGCCGCGGUAAGACGUAAGGGGCCGGCGUUGCUCGUAAUUACAGGGCAUAAAGGGUCGUAGGCGGUGCGGCAAGUCGCAAGUGAAAUCUCCAGGCUUAACUUGGAGGCUGCUCCCGAAACUGCCGAGCUUGAGUGCGGGAGAUGCCAGUGGAAUUGCUUGUGUAGCGGUGAAAUGCGUAAAUCUCUGCUUGAACACCCGUGGCGAAGGCGGCUGGAUGGAGCGCACCUGACUCUCAGGAACGACACCUCGGGGAGCAUACACGAUUACAUACCCUGGUAGUCCUAGCCUCAACGAUCAUGACUUGGGGUGCAUCCCGCCGGGUGCGUCCCGUACUAUCCGUAAGUCUGCGCUGGGGAGUCGGUCGCAGGGUGAAAUCCAGGAAUGACUGGGGCCUUACA